CCCGGGAAUUCGAUUGUUUAUCCUGGCUCAGGACGAACGCUGUCGGCGUGCCUAAUACAUGCAAGUCGAGCGAGCUGAAUUCAAGGAUCCCUUCGGGGUGACUUGUUGGACGCGAGCGGCGGAUGGGUGAGUAACACGUGGGCAACCUGCCCUAAAGACUGGGAUACCACUUGGAAACAGGUGCUAAUACCGGAUAACAACGACUUUCACAUUAAAGACACUUUAAAGGCGGCUUUAAGCUGUCACUUUAUGAUGGCCCGCGGUNCAUUANCUANUUGGUGGGGUAACGGCCUACCAAUGCAAUNAUNCAUAUCCGACUUUANANACUUAUCNGCCACAUUUGGAUUUAUACACNNCCCAAACUCCUAC
rnacentral:rRNA from 1 species